UACAGAGGUGGCAAGCGUUGUUCGGAAUUACUGGGCGUAAAGGGCGCGUAGGCGGCCAUCUAAGUCAGACGUGAAAUCCCUCGGCUUAACCGGGGAACUGCGUCUGAUACUGGAUGGCUCGAGUUUGGGAGAGGGACGCGGAAUUCCAGGUGUAGCGGUGAAAUGCGUAGAUAUCUGGAGGAACACCGGUGGCGAAGGCGGCGUCCUGGACCAACACUGACACUGAUGAGCGAAAGCCAGGGGAGCAAACAGG
rnacentral:rRNA from 1 species